CCUACGGGUGGCUGCAGUGGGGAAUAUUGGACAAUGGGCGAAAGCCUGAUCCAGCCAUGCCGCGUGUGUGAAGAAGGCCUUCGGGUUGUAAAGCACUUUCAGUGGGGAAGAAAGCCUUGGGGCUAAUACCCUCGAGGAAGGACAUCACCCACAGAAGAAGCACCGGCUAACUCCGUGCCAGCAGCCGCGGAAUACGGAGGGUGCGAGCGUUAAUCGGAAUUACUGGGCGUAAAGCGCGCGUAGGCGGUCUGAUAAGCCGGUUGUGAAAGCCCCGGGCUCAACCUGGGAACGGCAUCCGGAACUGUCAGGCUAGAGUGCAGGAGAGGAAGGUAGAAUUCCCGGUGUAGCAGUGAAAUGCGUAGAGAUCGGGAGGAAUACCAGUGGCGAAGGCGGCCUUCUGGACUGACACUGACGCUGAGGUGCGAAAGCGUGGGUAGCAAACAGGAUUAGAUACCCCGGUAGUC
rnacentral:rRNA from 1 species